rnacentral:rRNA from 1 species
AGCGAACGCUGGCGGCAGGCUUAACACAUGCAAGUCGAGCGGACCUUUCGGGGUCAGCGGCGGACGGGUGAGUAACGCGUGGGAACGUGCCUUCCGGUUCGGAAUAACCCUGGGAAACUAGGGCUAAUACCGGAUACGCCCUUAUGGGGAAAGGUUUACUGCCGGAAGAUCGGCCCGCGUCUGAUUAGCUAGUUGGUGGGGUAACGGCCUACCAAGGCGACGAUCAGUAGCUGGUCUGAGAGGAUGAUCAGCCACACUGGGACUGGGACACGGCCCAGACUCCUACGGGAGGCAGCAGUGGGGAAUAUUGGACAAUGGGCGCAAGACUGAUCCAGCCAUGCCGCGUGAGUGAUGAAGGCCUUAGGGUUGUAAAGCUCUUUUAUCCGGGACGAUAAUGACGGUACCGGAGGAAUAAGCCCCGGCUAACUUCGUG